rnacentral:rRNA from 1 species
GACGAACGCUGGCGGCGUGCUUAACACAUGCAAGUCGAACGGACAGGCUCGGGGUUUGUGGCGUGGACGAGUGGCGAACGGGUGAGUAACACGUGAGGAACCUGCCCCUGACUCUGGGAUAAGACCUGGAAACAGCGGCUAAUACUGGAUACGAGAUACUGCCGCAUGGGGACUUUUUGUAAAGUUCGGCGGUUGGGGAUGGUCUCGCGGCCUAUCAGCUUGUUGGUGAGGUAGUGGCUGACCAAGGCUACGGCGGGUAGCCGGCCUGAGAGGGCGACCGGCCACAAUGGGACUGAGAGACGGCGCAGAAUGCUACGGGAGGCAGCAGUGGGGAAUAUUGCACAAUGGGCGAAAGCCUGAUGCAGCGACGCCGCGUGCGGGAUGCCGGCCUUCGGGUUGUAAACCACUUUCAGAGGGGAAGAAGCGAACGUGACGGUACCUGAUGAAGAAGCACCGGCUAACUACGUG